GAUGAACGCUGGCGGCGUGCCUAAUACAUGCAAGUCGAGCGAACAGAUAAGGAGCUUGCUCCUUUGACGUUAGCGGCGGACGGGUGAGUAACACGUGGGUAACCUACCUAUAAGACUGGGAUAACUUCGGGAAACCGGAGCUAAUACCGGAUAACAUUUGGAACCGCAUGGUUCUAAAGUGAAAGAUGGUUUUGCUAUCACUUAUAGAUGGACCCGCGCCGUAUUAGCUAGUUGGUAAGGUAACGGCUUACCAAGGCAACGAUACGUAGCCGACCUGAGAGGGUGAUCGGCCACACUGGAACUGAGACACGGUCCAGACUCCUACGGGAGGCAGCAGUAGGGAAUCUUCCGCAAUGGGCGGAAGCCUGACGGAGCAACGCCGCGUGAGUGAUGAAGGGUUUGGGCUCGUAAAACUCUGUUAUUAGGGAAGAACAAAUGUGUAAGUAACUGUGCACGUCUUGACGGUACCUAAUCAGAAAGCCACGGCUAACUACGUG
rnacentral:rRNA from 1 species